rnacentral:rRNA from 1 species
ACGUAGGUGGCAAGCGUUGUCCGGAUUUAUUGGGCGUAAAGCGCGCGCAGGCGGGAUGAUAAGUCUGUCUUAAAAGUUCGGGGCUCAACCCCGUGAUGGGAUGGAAACUGUCAUUCUUGAGUGUCGGAGAGGAAAGUGGAAUUCCUAGUGUAGCGGUGAAAUGCGUAGAUAUUAGGAGGAACACCAGUGGCGAAGGCGACUUUCUGGACGAUGUCUGACGCUGAGGCGCGAAAGCCAGGGUAGUGAACGG